rnacentral:Y_RNA from 1 species
GGCUGGUCCACUGGUAGUGGGUUACCAGAACUUAUUAACAUUAGUGUCACUAAAGUUGGGGCACAACCCCCGACUGCUAAAUUUCACUGGCUUUAA